UUGACAUCCAGCGAAUUCGGUAGAGAUACCUUAGUGCCUUCGGGAACGCUGAGACAGGUGCUGCAUGGCUGUCGUCAGCUCGUGUUGUGAAAUGUUGGGUUAAGUCCCGCAACGAGCGCAACCCUUAUCCUUUGUUGCCAGCGGUCCGGCCGGGAACUCAAAGGAGACUGCCAGUGAUAAACUGGAGGAAGGUGGGGAUGACGUCAAGUCAUCAUGGCCCUUACGAGUAGGGCUACACACGUGCUACAAUGGCGCAUACAAAGAGAAGCGACCUCGCGAGAGCAAGCGGACCUCAUAAAGUGCGUCGUAGUCCGGAUUGGAGUCUGCAACUCGACUCCAUGAAGUCGGAAUCGCUAGUAAUCGUAGAUCAGAAUGCUACGGUGAAUACGUUCCCGGGCCUUGUACACACCGCCCGUCACACCAUGGGAGUGGGUUGCAAAAGAAGUAGGUAGCUUAACCUUCGGGAGGGCGCUUACCACUUUGUGAUUCAUGACUGGGGUGAAGUCGUAACAAGGUAAGCGUACGUGU
rnacentral:rRNA from 1 species